rnacentral:rRNA from 1 species
GUGGAAGCGAGCUUGCUUUUCGCUGACGAGUGGCGCACGGGUGCGUAACGCGUAUACAAUCUGCCUCUUACAGGGGGAUGGCCUUUGGAAACGAAGAAUAAUACCCCAUGGUAUCCCGACCCCGCAUGGGCGUCGGGAUUAAAGAUUUAUCGGUAAGAGAUGAGUAUGCGUCCUAUUAGCUAGAUGGUGUGGUAACGGCACACCAUGGCCACGAUAGGUGGGGGCCCUGAGAGGGGGAUCCCCCACACUGGUACUGAGACACGGACCAGACUCCUACGGGAGGCAGCAGUGAGGAAUAUUGGACAAUGGGCGGAAGCCUGAUCCAGCCAUGCCGCGUGCAGGAAGACUGCCCUAUGGGUUGUAAACUGCUUUUGUACGGGAAGAAACCCACCUACGAGUAGGUGGCUGACGGUACCGUAAGAAUAAGCAUCGGCUAACUCCGUGCCAGCAGCCGCGGUAAUACGGAGGAUGCAAGCGUUAUCCGGAAUCAUUGGGUUUAAAGGGUCCGUAGGUGGAUCGGUCAGUCAGAGGUGAAAUCCUGCAGCUCAACUGUAGAACUGCCUUUGAUACUGCCGGUCUUGAAUUAUCGUGAAGUGGUUAGAAUAUGUAGUGUAGCGGUGAAAUGCAUAGAUAUUACAUAGAAUACCGAU